GACGAACGCUGGCGGCGUGCCUGACACAUGCAAGUCGGACGGUUCUUGUAUCUUCAAGCUUGCUUGCAGGUGCAAGGAUAGUGGCGGACGGGUGAGUAACGCGUGAACAUCUACCCAUUGGAGGGGGACAACCCGUCGAAAGGCGGGCUAAUACCGCGUAAGCCGCGAGGUGAGAGGCUGCCUAUUGGUGGCCGCCGAUGGAUGGGUUCGCGUCCUAUCAGCUGGUUGGUGGGGUAACGGCCUACCAAGGCGAAGACGGGUAGCCGGUCUGAGAGGAUGGCCGGCCACACUGGAACUGAGACACGGUCCAGACUCCUACGGGAGGCAGCAGUGGGGAAUAUUGGGCAAGUGGGGGAGACCCUGACCCAGCGACGCCGCGUGAGGGAUGAAGGUUUUCGGAUCGUAAACCUCUGUUGUACGGGAAGAAGGAUGUGACGGUACCGUACGAGAAAGCCCCGGACAAACUACGUGCCAGCAGCCGACGGUAAAAUCACGUGUA
rnacentral:rRNA from 1 species